rnacentral:rRNA from 1 species
UACGUAGGGGGCUAGCGUUGUCCGGAUUUAUUGGGCGUAAAGAGCGUGUAGGCGGCCAGGUAGGUCUGCUGUGAAAACUCGAGGCUCAACCUCGAGACGUCGGCGGAAACCAUCAGGCUAGAGUCCGGAAGAGGAGAGUGGAAUUCCUGGUGUAGCGGUGAAAUGCGCAGAUAUCAGGAAGAACACCCGUGGCUAAGGCGGCUCUCUAGUACGGUACUGACGCUGAGACGCGAAAGCGUGGGGAGCGAACAGG